UGUUGGUCCGGACGGAUACCGAAGUCUGGAGUUUGUUUUUCUCCGGACUUUUGUGACUUCGGGAGGUGAAACCUCCUGAGAAACUGGGAGUUCUCGGUUUAGACGGAAGUGAGGAGGGUGUGAGAACAGCUGGACUCGGCUUCCGGUCAGCGGAGCUCCCGCCCCUGGUCACCCUCUUCCGGCCUCCCGGUGAUGUAGGAAGCACGGUCCAAGAGAGCACCUUGGAAAAGAGAAGCCCGUGUACUCAAGCCACUGAAUAAUCAGCUUGCUUUUUCCCAGGCAUGGCAACUUUUGCUCCUUUUGUAAUGCAUCCCGACAAAGUUGCAGUUUGGUGAAAUACACAGACCACUCGUUUUCCUUAUAGCAGUGUUCGUUAAAAUUGACUUCUCAGGCUUUUUCAGCGUAACCAAGAGAUGACUAACACAUUUGCUUGUUACCAUCUUGAGAUACCUAGGGGGAUGAAAGGGUCACUUAAAAAAGUGCGGCUCCCAAACGGACUGGAUCCCAAAGUGUGAUGGCUAAGCACCCACAGCUGGCUCAUGGGCUGUUUGGUGGCACUGUUUGGGACAAUUAUGGAAUCCUUAAGUGGUGGAGCCUUGCUAGAGGAAGUGUGCCACUGGGAGCAGGCUUGGAGAUUGCAUAGCCUGGCUCCAUUUUCCCUAUGCCCUGCCCCACCUUUCUUUUCUUCCUGUGGCUGAGAUGUAUCUUUUCUGCUUCCUGACUUCCAGAAUUGCCUGUUUGAAUCAGAUGUUUUGCUUUCAUGGCUCCCUGCAUGUCCCUUGAACUCUAAGCUAAAAUAAACUAUUUUCUUUGCUG
rnacentral:lncRNA from 1 species